ensembl:snRNA U6 U6 spliceosomal RNA
AUGCUUGCUUUGACAACACAUUUACUGAAACUGGAAUGAUGCAGAAAUUAGCAUGGUGCUCAAGCAAGGAUGAAACACAAAUUUAUGAAGUGCUCCAUCUUUUA